CAUAGCUCAGUUGGUAGAGCACAUGACUUUAAUAAGUUCCUGAAACCCUGUCUUCCAAAGGUCGCUGGUUCAACUCCAGCUCCAA
rnacentral:tRNA from 1 species